rnacentral:rRNA from 1 species
CUCAGGAUGAACGCUAGCUACAGGCUUAACACAUGCAAGGUCGAGGGGCAGCAUGAACUUAGCUUGCUAAGUUGAUGGCGACCGGCGCGACGGGUGAGUAACACGUAUCCAACCUUCCGUUUACUCAGGGAUAGCCUUUCGAAAGAAAGAUUAAUACCUGAUAGUAUGGUGAGAUUGCAUGAUAGCACCAUUAAAGAUUUAUUGGUAAACGAUGGGGAUGCGUUCCAUUAGGUAGUAGGCGGGGUAACGGCCCACCUAGCCUGCGAUGGAUAGGGGUUCUGAGAGGAAGGUCCCCCACAUUGGAACUGAGACACGGUCCAAACUCCUACGGGAGGCAGCAGUGAGGAAUAUUGGUCAAUGGGCGAGAGCCUGAACCAGCCAAGUAGCGUGAAGGAUGAAGGUCCUACGGAUUGUAAACUUCUUUAUACGGGAAUAAAGUAUCCUACGUGUAGGAUUUUGUAUGUACCGUAUGAAUAAGCAUCGGCUAACUCCGUG